rnacentral:rRNA from 1 species
AACUUCCGUUAAUUGAUUAUGACGUACUUGUACUGAUUGAGAUUUUAACACGAAGUGAGUGGCGAACGGGUGAGUAACACGUGGGUAACCUGCCCAGAAGUAGGGGAUAACACCUGGAAACAGAUGCUAAUACCGUAUAACAGAGAAAACCGCAUGGUUUUCUUUUAAAAGAUGGCUCUGCUAUCACUUCUGGAUGGACCCGCGGCGUAUUAGCUAGUUGGUGAGGUAAAGGCUCACCAAGGCAGUGAUACGUAGCCGACCUGAGAGGGUAAUCGGCCACAUUGGGACUGAGACACGGCCCAGACUCCUACGGGAGGCAGCAGUAGGGAAUCUUCCACAAUGGACGCAAGUCUGAUGGAGCAACGCCGCGUGAGUGAAGAAGGGUUUCGGCUCGUAAAGCUCUGUUGUUAAAGAAGAACGUGGGUAAGAGUAACUGUUUACCCAGUGACGGUAUUUAACCAGAAAGCCACGGCUAACUACGUGCCAGCAGCCGCGGUAAUACGUAGGUGGCAAGCGUUAUCCGGAUUUAUUGGGCGUAAAGCGAGCGCAGGCGGUCUUUUAAGUCUAAUGUGAAAGCCUUCGGCUCAACCGAAGAAGUGCAUUGGAAACUGGGAGACUUGAGUGCAGAAGAGGACAGUGGAACUCCAUGUGUAGCGGUGAAAUGCGUAGAUAUAUGGAAGAACACCAGUGGCGAAGGCGGCUGUCUGGUCUGCAACUGACGCUGAGGCUCGAAAGCAUGGGUAGCGAACAGGAUUAGAUACCCUGGUAGUCCAUGCCGUAAACGAUGAUUACUAAGUGUUGGAGGGUUUCCGCCCUUCAGUGCUGCAGCUAACGCAUUAAGUAAUCCGCCUGGG